CCUACGGGGGGCUGCAGUGGGGAAUAUUGGACAAUGGGCGAAAGCCUGAUCCAGCCAUGCCGCGUGUGUGAAGAAGGCCUUCGGGUUGUAAAGCACUUUCAGUGGGGAAGAAAGCCUGGGGGCUAAUACCCUCGAGGAAGGACAUCACCCACAGAAGAAGCACCGGCUAACUCCGUGCCAGCAGCCGCGGUAAUACGGAGGGUGCGAGCGUUAAUCGGAAUUACUGGGCGUAAAGCGCGCGUAGGCGGUCUGAUAAGCCGGUUGUGAAAGCCCCGGGCUCAACCUGGGAACGGCAUCCGGAACUGUCAGGCUAGAGUGCAGGAGAGGAAGGUAGAAUUCCCGGUGUAGCGGUGAAAUGCGUAGAGAUCGGGAGGAAUACCAGUGGCGAAGGCGGCCUUCUGGACUGACACUGACGCUGAGGUGCGAAAGCGUGGGUAGCAAACAGGAUUAGAUACCCCAGUAGUC
rnacentral:rRNA from 1 species